UCCAAGCAAACUCUUCUGUCGGAGUAGACGGCGCGCAUUGAGCAAUCACACUGUGGUGACCAAUAACUCGCCUCUCCAAGGACCAUGUGACCAACCACGUGACAUCGCACCACGGGCGAGAAAAUACCCUCCUGUGUCCUCUCCUCCCAGUGUUGGGGGCACAUGAGACAAACCAUGAGAUCUCUGAUGCUCAUUACCAGCCACAAUGUCACCUCAUCACCCUGUGAGAGGAAAAGGGACUAUUGGUGACGAUCACAUCAGAGUCUGUGAACAAGUCUUCAUAUGGGGGAGAAGGUCAGUUCCAGGGAUCUCUGGGCCACUAUUAAACAAUAUAUGAGAUGUCUCUCAUUAUUUACCUGUGUAUAAGGAGCACCUACGUGUAACACAACCAUGUUCUACCUGUUGGUCCACUGACAUGAUGGGGCCACGCUCGCUGGGACAGAUAAUAAGGUUUCCCCUACAGCUGCAAAACAUGGCUGAUAAUAAAUAUGAUAUAAUUGUAUUAUUACAGUAUAAAUAUGGGCACACAAUAUCACUGUAAAUAAUGCAACGUUAAAUACAAUAAAGUGUUAACAUAA